CCUACGGGAGGCAGCAGUGGGGAAUAUUGGGCAAUGGGCGCAAGCCUGACCCAGCAACGCCGCGUGCAGGAAGAAGGCUUUCGGGUUGUAAACUUCUUUUGUCAGGGACGAAGCAAGUGACGGUACCUGACGAAUAAGCCACGGCUAACUACGUGCCAGCAGCCGCGGUAAUACGUAGGUGGCAAGCGUUAUCAGGAUUUAGUGGGUGUAAAGGGCGUGUAGGCGGGAAUGCAAGGCAGAUGUGAAAACUAUGGGCUCAACCCAUAGCCUGCAGUUGAAACUGUAUGUCUUGAGUGCUGGAGAGGCAAGCGGAAUUCCGGGUGUAGCGGUGAAAUGCGUAGAUAUACGGAGGAACACCAGUGGCGAAGGCGGAUUGCUGGACAGAAACUGACGCUGAGGCGCGAAAGCGUGGGGAGCAAACAGGAUUAGAUACCCCUGUAGUC
rnacentral:rRNA from 1 species